AGCGAACGCUGGCGGCAGGCCUAACACAUGCAAGUCGAACGCGUGUAGCAAUACACGAGUGGCAGACGGGUGAGUAACACGUGGGAACGUGCCCUUCGGUUCGGAAUAACUCAGGGAAACUUGAGCUAAUACCGGAUACGCCUUACGGGAAAGAUUUAUCGCCGAAGGAUCGGCCCGCGUCUGAUUAGCUAGUUGGUGAGGUAACGGCUCACCAAGGCGACGAUCAGUAGCUGGCUGAGAGGACGACCAGCCACACUGGGACUGAGACACGGCCCAGACUCCUACGGGAGGCAGCAGUGGGGAAUAUUGGACAAUGGGCGCAAGCCUGAUCCAGCGAUGCCGCGUGUGUGAAGAAGGCCUGCGGGUUNUAAAGCACUUUCAGUAGGGAAGAAAAGCCGAGUGCUAAUAUCACUCGGUCUUGACGUUACUUACAGAAGAAGCACCGGCUAACUCCGUGCCAGCCGCCGCGGUAAG
rnacentral:rRNA from 1 species